rnacentral:rRNA from 1 species
CCUACGGGAGGCAGCAGUGAGGAAUAUUGGUCAAUGGACGAGAGUCUGAACCAGCCAAGUAGCGUGAAGGAUGACUGCCCUAUGGGUUGUAAACUUCUUUUAUAAAGGAAUAAAACGAGGCACGUGUGCCUUUUUGCAUGUACUUUAUGAAUAAGGAUCGGCUAACUCCGUGCCAGCAGCCGCGGUAAUACGGAGGAUCCGAGCGUUAUCCGGAUUUCUUGGGUUUAAAGGGUGCGUAGAUGGGUUGUUAAGUCAGUGGUGAAAGUUUGCGGCUCAACCGUAAAAUUGCAAUUGAUACUGGCAGUCUUGAGUACAGUUGAGGUAGGCGGAAUUCGUGGUGUAGCGGUGAAAUGCUUAGAUAUCACGAAGAACCCCGAUUGCGAAGGCAGCUUACUAAACUGUGACUGACAUUGAUGCUCGAAAGUGUGGGUAUCAAACAGGAUUAGAUACCCCAGUAGUC